UGGGGAAUAUUGCACAAUGGGGGAAACCCUGAUGCAGCCAUGCCGCGUGUGUGAAGAAGGCCUUCGGGUUGUAAAGCACUUUCAGCGAGGAGGAAAGGGUGACGGUUAAUACCCGUUAUCUGUGACGUUACUCGCAGAAGAAGCACCGGCUAACUCCGUGCCAGCAGCCGCGGUAAUACGGAGGGUGCGAGCGUUAAUCGGAAUUACUGGGCGUAAAGCGCAUGCAGGCGGUUGGGUCAGUCAGAUGUGAAAGCCCCGGGCUUAACCUGGGAAUUGCAUUUGAUACUUUCCGACUAGAGUCCUUGAGAGGGGGGUAGAAUUUCAGGUGUAGCGGUGAAAUGCGUAGAGAUCUGAAGGAAUACCAGUGGCGAAGGCGGCCCCCUGGCAAGAGACUGACGCUCAGAUGCGAAAGCGUGGGGAGCAAACAGGAUUAGAUACCCCGGUAGUCC
rnacentral:rRNA from 1 species